GUGGCGGCCAUUUUCCCCUGGUUUGAGCUCCGCCUUCCUUCUAUCAUUCCCACAAGGCCCCAGGAGCACAGAGCAGCCAUUUCUCUGUCUGGCAGCAAUGUGUUCCCAUAGCAAUCGGGGCCGGACAAUGUGACGUCACUUCCGGCGCGACGGGAGACCCGCGACCGGAAGUGCCACUACGGGAUGGCGGCCGGGAGCAUGGGACACACACGGAGGUUGCACAGGAGGGUCACAGGUGACAUUUUGCGUUGCUGUAUCCAGCAUAUCUGUGUAUAUAUGAUGGCUCGUCUUAUAAAGAUUUCCCCAGAGCAGUAGAUGCGGAAGGUUUCCUGAAGGAAGAAGUGGCAGUUGGAGGUCAAGAUACCACCUCUACAUCCAAUGAAGGUCCUGCUUCUUCAUAACUUCUGGAUAUUUCCAUGGCUAUUUAUGUGACUUUGUCAGCUUAUGUUUAAAUCACAUUCUUCAUUGCGAUAUUGUAUUAAUUAUCAAUGACUUGCUUGACUGCUUUUUAUUGAUCGUGUUUUUUUAUUUUAUUUUUUAUAAUUAUACAUUUUAUUGAAUAAAAUUGAAGUUGACAGCAAA